rnacentral:lncRNA from 1 species
GAAACUUUUUAUUUUUGACAAAUUUUUGUGUAGAAUUAAGAUCACUAUGCUUAAGCAAAAGUAACACGCGCCCCACGUAUAUUUGUCGAAUUCCCUCUUUCCAUAUCUCGAAUUUAAUGAUCAUAAUUAUAAAGACCUUAUCUUUCCUUCCCACCACAAACCCCUCCCGUUCCCCCACUGUAAAAACCAGUUCACUCGUUGUUUUCACUGCACCAGUCACAACCUCCCCCACUAUUUUCACAGUUCUUUUCUUUACAAACUCUCUAAUAUGAUAUCUUCUGUUAGUGUUCCAGCUGCUUCAUCUUCCUCAAGGGACAAGAAGAGUGAGCGAUGCUCUUUGAUUAUUGAGAUGAACAUAUGAGUUUUAAGCAGAUGAUGCUCUAACUGAUGAGCUCUGGAACGCGUGUGCAAGAACUAUAGCUGGUAUUUUGAAAGAAGAACAAAAUAGCGUACUACUUCUUCGAGGAUCUGGAACAUGACUUCUGCAAUUUGUGUUCUCAAAUCGUUAUAAAUGAUCCUGGAGGAAACAGUACAAUAUCUGUGCUUCUUUUAGGGACACCAGCCAUGCUACUUGCGCACACAUUCAAAGCUCAUCACUUGAGAUUAUAUCAUCUGCAUAAAAUCCAUUGAAGGACAAUCAAAAGACCAUAUCUGCAAAAAUAAAAAUCAAGAGAGGAACUGAAACAUUAUAUGCAAAGCAUUACAACUCACUUUCUGGGUCAUUGGGGAAUGAUGGAACAGCUGGAGCAGUGUUGAACUUUGAAGAAGCCAUGGAUGGGAAGUGAGAUAUGAUGAGGGUUUUGUAAGGAAAGGAACUUGUGAAAAUGGUGGUGGUGAAGUGAAAAAAUGAGGGGGGGGUGAACUGGUUUUUAUAUUGGGGGAGAAGGGG